UAUUUAUCUCAGUCUCUCUGUCUGCUUCUUCUUUAUACUUCACAACUCUUCUUCUUUCUAACUUCCGGCUGAACUCGUCGGUUUCUGUGAUCUCUCCUCCAUAAUUUCGGCGGUCCGUAAACUCGAAAGCUUGCUGUUUCUGUUUCUCAUUUUGGUCCCGGGCGGAAAUUGAGGGUCUGAAUUGUUGGCAGUUUCUUCUGAAGCUCCAGAUCUCGACUUCGAGCUGCUUCGUUCGUCCUUUGAGGAUUGGUUGCAAUGUCGCUUCGGAAUCUGGUUUUGGUCCUGCUGAUGAUGAUUUCCGCUCACCAGGCUAUGUCGAUUGCGUUUACAUCGAGAAUACUUCACCGGUUCUCUGAGGAGAUGAAGGCGCUUAGGGUUUCAAGGAGUACGAAUACGAGUGUACGAGUCUCGUGGCCUGAGAAAGGGAGCAUGGAGUAUUAUCAGGAGCUUGUGAGCGGUGACUUCCAGAGGCAGAAGAUGAAGCUUGGCUCUCGGUUUCAGUUGCUUUUCCCGUCUGAAGGCAGCAAAACCAUUGCACUGGGGAAUGACUUUGGCUGGUUGCAUUACGCCUGGAUCGACAUCGGGACGCCAAGUGUUUCAUUUCUGGUUGCAUUGGAUGCCGGGAGUGAUCUGCUUUGGAUUCCUUGUGAUUGCAUACAAUGUGCUCCUUUGUCUGCAAGUUACUAUGGCAGUCUGGAUAAAGAUCUCAAUGAAUACCGUCCAUCCAGUUCAAGCACGAGCAAGCAUAUAUCUUGCAGCCAUAAUUUGUGCGAGUCAGGCCAAAGCUGCCAAAGUCCGAAGCAGUCAUGUCCUUAUGUUAUUGACUACUUAACUGAAAAUACUUCAAGUUCUGGAUUACUGAUUCAGGAUGUAUUGCAUCUUUCAUCCGGUUGUGAGAAUUCAUCUAAUUGUACGAUUCAGGCUCCGGUCGUUUUAGGAUGUGGUAUGAAACAAAGUGGCGGUUAUCUAAGUGGAGUGGCUCCAGAUGGUCUUUUUGGAUUGGGGCUUGGAGAAAUUUCUGUUCUUAGUUCCCUUGCUAAAGAAGGAUUAGUACAGAACUCUUUCUCACUGUGCUUUAAUGAGGAUGGAUCUGGCAGAAUCUUUUUUGGGGACGAGGGACCAGCUAGUCAACAAAUGACUUCAUUUGUGUUGUUAGACGGGAAAUAUGAAGCCUAUAUCGUCGGAGUGGAAGCAUGUUGUAUCGGGAAUUCAUGUCUCGAGCAGACAAGUUUUAAAGCAUUGAUUGAUAGUGGAACCUCGUUUACGUAUCUCCCCGAGGAAGUAUAUGAAAAUGUUGUGAUGGAGUUCGAUAAAAGGUUAAACACUACAAGCACCGUCACCUUCAAAGGUUAUCCUUGGAAGUAUUGCUAUAAGAUCAGUGCAGACGCAAUGCCAAAGGUUCCGUCUGUGACGUUGUUGUUCCCACUAAACAAUAGCUUUGUUGUUCAUGAUCCUGUUUUUCCUAUCUAUGGCGAUCAGGGGUUAGCUGGAUUUUGUUUUGCUGUACUACCUACUGAUGGAGAUAUCGGGAUACUGGGACAAAAUUACAUGACUGGAUACAGGAUGGUAUUUGAUAGGGAAAACCUUAAGUUGAGUUGGUCACGUGCAAACUGUCAAGAUCUCAGUAACGAAAAGAAAAUGCCCCUUGCUCCUUCAAAAGAAACGCCGCCAAACCCAUUACCAGCCAACGAGCAGCAGAGUGUUUCAGAGGGGCAUGCGGUGGCUCCUGCCGUAGCUGGAAGGGCUCCUUCUAAACCAUCAGCUGCCACCCCUUGUUUCAUCCCAUCCUGCUUUUAUACGGUCAGAUUGCUGCACCUGCUUCUUCUGGUAUUCUACCUUGUUUCUACUUGCGUGUGAUAUAGAUUCUGAGCGUGUCUAAGUUUUACAUGUAAAUGAAGGUCGUCCCAUUAUAGCUUCACCCCGGCAAGGACAUGUAAAUUUUCUCAUCAGAGAAUGUUCUUGUGCAAUACUAAACAAUAUUCUCAAUGAUUGUCUACGUAAUUUAGGGCCAAUCAUAUUAUUUUUACUUUCAUGUCCUUAUAGCCUAUUUGGUUGGGAUACCUUAAUCUUUCAGCUCAGCCUGUCAAACAUAAUCUUCUCGGAACUUAAUAUAGUUCUCUAGUAUCUUAUCCUGGUUGAAGGAUUGAGGUCUUCUACAACCCCACCUCCACCUCAUUUUUUGAACUAACAAAACCACUAUUCGACAUCGACGAACAAUUAUUCUGUCGGUGUCGGGUUAGUAUAAUGUGUGGUAUAUGUCCAAAAAUUUGAAGGGGGGACUGCUAUAAUGUAGGAGCAAAGUUGGAUAAAGUUGUACAUUUGAAGUGGGUGAAAAGAAUAAAAGAGAUGAAAAAUGGGAAUGAAGGGUUAAAUGUAAGGCAAUAAUUGUGUAUUGGAGAGGUGGUAGUGAAGGGAGAGUUGGGUUUUCCAUUUGGAAAAGUUGUUCCAUUGAAAAGAAUAAAUCAGAAAGAAAGUGGCCUUUGAGCAACCAAACCAAACCAAACCAAACCCCUCAAAAUAAAAGUACAACACGACAGAUUGUGUGUGAACCCACCUUUUUCUUCCUUCUUUCUAUUUCUCUGGCUAAUUUAUGCAUUAAAUUGGAACCAUUUAUUUGAAUUUAUUGAAGCUUUUUAGUCCCAAUGGAUUGAUUGCAUGAAAUAAUAUUCUUAUCUUCACAUUGAAGGUCCCACUCUUUAUAGGGAUGGCAGAGUUUCUUUUUUCUUUGCAAGGCCUUGUCCUGUCCCAUUUGAUGUCCUACUUUUUGGAGGAAAUAUUACUCUAAAUUAAUCGCAUUAAAUUAUUUCAUUCCAAUCUCCUUUUGGGUUUUGUGUGUACCUAAAUUUGACCCAGUUUGUGAAAUUAAUAUGAACUUUUAGAAAGGAAUAAAUUAGUUCAAUUCUAUUGUUUUCCUUUAA